AUUUUAGCGAUGGCUACGAUACGGAAACGACUAACGAACCAAUCCAUUCAAACUUCGACUAAUAACUUGCGACUAACGCGGAAUUUCAGCCUACGUUUUGCUACCGUAACAAGCCGCCGUUCGACUAUUCCACGAACGAGAUGAAUGAAAACGGUACAAAAACAUAGAAGAUCGAAUAGAAGAUACGUAUCUAGCGGAUGAAUAUUCUGUGUAUUACGUAAAAGGUACGAUGAAAACAAACAAAUUAUGAAAAAAUGUAUAAAAGGAGCCUCUAUGUGGGCUUGUUGGAAUCUGAUGAACGAACACACUGAUUACAUAUGUAUAUUUUAGUAGUACACUAUGUGCUAUGUUAACGUAACACGGAGAACAGAUUUACAACGAAUUUCGUAGCACAUGCGCAGUUGCGAAUUCAGUCGGCGGAAGAUCUUCCGAAGAAGGAUCUUAGGAGCGUGAAUUUAGCUCUUAAUUGAUAGAAAACGCGAGUUCCCAAUGGACUUUGAAUCGUUAGUUUAUUAGUAAUUUAUUGAGUAGGGUGUUUUGAACGAUGCCAAUAAUGAAAACUCGGAGUUGGAAUAAGGAUUCAGUACUAGUACAUAAAUGAUUGGUUACCUAACAGGUUAUUAGAUAUUGUAAAAUACGUGGGACUCUCGGUAGGUUUUCCUCUACGGUAAAGCAUAAUAAACGACCAAAUUUUGUCUCUCACGUUUCGCUUGGAGAUACUCCGACGGUUUGUUUGUAGCCAUUCCAAAUACAUUAACACUAAUGUAUUUUGUAUGCGACAAGUAACGUUGCACAACGUGUAACUGGCACUAUAUAAGUUAACUGCUAAAUCGUUUUCUUCGUAAUUCUUUAAAUUAGAUGCAAUUCAUAGAACCUGUUUAUCGCUCCGAUCAUAUCAAUCAAAUAUUUUAGGACGGCGUUCGUCCGAGAAUAAUCGUUCGCGUGUCACGGGCAAUUGGACAAUUUUAAUUAAAGCAAAUUUACAAAUUCGUAAUAACAACGAUCUUAAAGCAAGUUUCCAUUAAAUCGUUGCCAAUGACAAUCUUCCUAAAUUAGAUGCAAUUCAUCGAAUUUGAUUUGUUGAUUCUAUUUAUAGAACAUUACCAGGAAGGAAAAUGUUACACGUAGCAAUUGUUGAACAAGUUGGAUAAAAAUAAAUAUUAGCAAGGACUGAUCGAAGCUGUCGCUAUUGCAUGUGCGACAGAGCACAUGGCUCGCGGAAAAAUGGAUUCCUUUUAACUGGUUUACGUGCGAUCUCGCCUCUGCUAUCGCGUCAUCGUUCUCGCUUACGAGUUCGUAUUUCCGUGGGCCUCCCGUCGAAACGUCACGAAUUCCGACGAUUUGACGCCGUACACUUACGAUGUUGGCUGCCAAUCGAUCGCCGCUGCCAGACUAGCUACCCCCUCCCCGCCGAUAUUCACGACAUUGGCAAACAUUUCACGAACUGUUAUACGAUCAGAGGUUGGUAAAACUUGACAAUUUUUACAAAAUCGCGAUACCGUAGAAAUACAUUCCGAUCGAACGAGCGCUGUAACAUUUUAAUCGCCUCACGCAAAUAUUUACUAAACUAUAUAUUAUUGGGAGAAGUGUAUCGAACGAAAAUUGUUCUGUUUCAAGGGGGGCGUCUUACGAUGACCAUCAAAUUUAUCUGGGUGCACGCGGUUUCGAGGUCUCGAGCUAUCGUUGUUCUUUUAAAUGCAACUGUACAAUUCUUUUUAUAGAUUUUUAUACAAUUUUUUUUUCAUGAAAUUUUUAAUUUUUUACAGACAAAGUACUAAAGUACUUGUGUGAAGAAAUGUUUAAUUUGAAGAGCAUUUGCACGUUAACGAAAUCGAGCGUACGAACAAGGAAAACGUAAACAUAAAAGCACUGCGUUAUCUUUCCUUGUCCUUCAUACGAUAAGUCUUGCGAGAUUAAAGUCGAAGUAUCUUUUAAACUAACCAUUUUUCGAUCGAAGUACCUUAACGCCUUUUUGCAAAGAAUUAAAAAAUGCAUCGCAUGGUCUCUAGGAAAACGUGCAUUUUUAUUUUAUAAACGCCAGACAUUGUAACUGCUAUAGGGCGAAUUUUUAAGGUUAUGUUAGAAGAGUUAAUUUAGUUAAUUAAAUACAAUUUUCGUUACUAGUAAUCAUUAUGGAUGACGGAGAUUUCAUUUUGCUUGCUAGUAAUCAUUAUCGAUGGACAGAAUUUUAUUUUGGCUGUAAAUAAUCGUUCAAACUAAGUACAAUCUUUGAUUACCAGUAAUCGUUGCCUAUCGAGGACAGGAAUUCUAUUUUAAUUACGAAUAAUCAUUACGAAUCAUUAUCGGCAGCAAAAUAAUUUUCUGUUUACAUUUGGCUAUUGUCAAUUGUUGGUAACAUCACUGGCAAUUAGCGUAUAUUCAUUGACAACAUAAAAAAGGCUAAUUAUAAAAUUUAUUGCAUUUAAAAAAACAGCACGAAAAUAUGUGAAAUAGAAUGAAAAUAUUGUACUACCAUAACUUUUAUCUUAUUCGUUGUUUCACACAUUUUCAUACAGUUUCUUUACUUAAUAAAUAAGUCUUAUAAUUAAGUACUUUUAUGCUGUCAAUGAAUGGUAAUUAUCAGUAAUGUUAAUGACAAAUUGACAAUAGUCGAAUGUAACCAAAAAAUAAUGUUUUCGCAGCUGAUAUUGGUUGGCGAUAAUAAAAAAAAUUUUUCGGCAUCGAUAAUGUAAUGAUCAUAAUUAAUCAAGUGUAAUUUAGGUUAACCAAAUUACAGUUAACCAAAAAAAAAAAAAUUCCGGUUUCAUUAAUAUUAAUAUUAUUUAAAUAUUAAAUUUCUGUCAUCGAUAAUGAUUGCUGGUAGGUAAAAAAUAUUUUAAUCGAUAUAAGUUUCAUUUGAAACAUUAUUUCGAGUAAUGUGUAGUGUGUGAGAUACUUACAUGGAUCGGUUAAAAUGAGACACCCUGUAUAACACCUAGCAACUUGAAUUGUUCACUCAAAUAAGAAUUCCAAAUUUUACGAAAUAUUACGUUUUCAUUAAAAAAGUUCUAUCUCUUUCGUUAAUCAUACCAAUUAGCCGAUGCGUGGAAAAUAACACUUAUCGUGUUCCAUUGAUAUUUAGUGAUAAAUCACUAGAUGUUUUAUGUAUGUUUUAAGAUCGUCGACGUGGAUAAUUUUAAUUGAUUUUAGCGGUAAGCUACGUAACUGUUACACUUUUCGUUGGCUCCUAUUGCGCCUUCAAUUUUUCCUUUUUUCCUUUACAUUUUUGUUAAAAACUGCCAACGUGGAGAUAAACGAUAUUUGGAAAUGUUAAACAUUUGUAUGAUUUACAAAUAACAUAUUUAUUUCGGUCCUCUG